rnacentral:rRNA from 13 species
CACAGACAGCUAGGAGGUUGGCUUAGAAGCAGCCAUCCUUUAAAGAAAGCGUAAUAGCUCACUAGUCGAGUCGGCCUGCGCGGAAGAUGUAACGGGGCUAAAUCUAGUACCGAAGCUGCGGAUCUCGUAAGAGAUGGUAGAGGAGCGUUCUGUAAGUCUGUGAAGGUGAAUCGAGAGGUUUGCUGGAGAUAUCAGAAGUGCGAAUGCUGACAUGAGUAACGAUAAAGGGGGUGAAAAACCCCCUCGCUGAAAGACCAAGGGUUCCUGUCCAACGCUAAUCGGGGCAGGGUGAGUCGACCCCUAAGACGAGGGCGAAAGCCGUAGUCGAUGGGAAACGGGUAAAUAUUCCCGUACUGGCUGUUACUGCGAUGGAGAGACGGAGAAGGCUAGGCAAUCAGGGCGACGGUAGUUCCCUGUUCAAGCCGGUAGGCAGAGAUCUUAGGCAAAUCCGGGAUCUUAAUGCCGAGACGUGAUGACGAGUCUCUAAGGAGACGAAGUUGUUGAUGCCAUGCUUCCAGGAAAAUCUUCUAAGCUUCAGGUAAGAAUUGACCGUACUGUAAACCGACACAGGUGAUCAGGUAGAGAAUACCAAGGCGCUUGAGAGAACUAUCUUGAAGGAACUCGGCAAAAUACCUCCGUAAGUUCGCGAGAAGGAGGCCCAGUGUUUACGCAAGUAGAUACUGGGGGCACAAACUAGGGGGUGGCGACUGUUUACUAAAAACACAGGGCUCUGCGAAGUCGCAAGACGACGUAUAGGGUCUGACGCCUGCCCGGUGCCUGAAGGUUAAAAGGAGGGGUGAGAGCUCUGAAUUGAAGCCCAGGUAAACGGCGGCCGUAACAAUAACGGUCCUAAGGUAGCGAAAUUCCUUGUCGGGUAAGUUCCGACCUGCACGAAUGGCGUAACGACUUCCCCACUGUCUCAACUGGAGGCCCAGCGAAAUUGGAGUGCGCGUGCAGAUACGCGCUACCCGCAGAAGGACGAAAAGACCCCGUGAACCUUUACUGUAGCUUGGCAUUGGGUUUCGAAUAACAUUGCGUAGGAUAGGUGGGAGUUUUUGAUCUGUGCAUUCCGGUGUACAGGGAGACAACCUUGAAAUACCACCCUUUGUUAUUUGGAAUCCUAACCUACUGUCGUUAUCCGGCAGGGGGACAAUGUCUGGUGGGCAGUUUGACUGGGGCGGUCGCCUCCUAAACAGUAACGGAGGCGCACGAAGGUUCCCUCAGGCCGUAUGGAAACCGGCCGUAGAGUGUAAGCGCAUAAGGGAGCUUGACUGUGAGACUUACAAGUCGAGCAGGUACGAAAGUAGGUGUUAGUGAUCCGGUGGUUCCGCGUGGAAGGGCCAUCGCUCAACGGAUAAAAGGUACUCCGGGGAUAACAGGCUGAUACCGCCCAAGAGUUCACAUCGACGGCGGUGUUUGGCACCUCGAUGUCGGCUCAUCACAUCCUGGGGCUGAAGCCGGUCCCAAGGGUAUGGCUGUUCGCCAUUUAAAGUGGUACGCGAGCUGGGUUUAGAACGUCGUGAGACAGUUCGGUCCCUAUCUGCCGUGGACGUUGGAGAUUUGAGGAAAGCUGCUCCUAGUACGAGAGGACCGGAGUGGACGAACCGCUGGUGUUCGGGUUGUGUCGCCAGACGCAUUGCCCGGUAGCUAUGUUCGGAUAGGAUAACCGCUGAAAGCAUCUAAGCGGGAAGCCCCUUCCAAGAUGAGAUCUCCCUGGACCCUUGAGGUCCCUGAAGAGCCGUUCAAGACCAGGACGUUGAUAGGUCGGGUGUGUAAGCGCUGCGAGGCGUUGAGCUAACCGAUACUAAUUGCUCGUGAGGCUUGACU